CACGUAGGGCGCAAGCGUUGUCCGGAAUUAUUGGGCGUAAAGAGCGUGUAGGCGGCCUUACAGGUCAGCUGUGAAAACUCGAGGCUCAACCUCGAGACGUCGGUUGAAACCGUAUGGCUAGAGUCCGGAAGAGGAGAGUGGAAUUCCCGGUGUAGCGGUGAAAUGCGCAGAUAUCGGGAAGAACACCCGUGGCGAAGGCGGCUCUCUGGGACGGUACUGACGCUGAGACGCGAAAGCGUGGGGAGCGAACAGG
rnacentral:rRNA from 1 species